UUUUUUUUUUUUUUUGUGGUGGUAGUAGAGAGGACAAGGAGAAAACCAAGAGCCACCAUAUCCUGAUAAAUUAUAACAUGCCUUUCUAAAAUUUUCCUCUUUAAUGGCUUCUUCCUGUUUUCUUUCAUCACUGUUGUUAAUACAUAAAACAUUACCAGAAACAUGAAAUCGUGGCACCUAAAAGGAUAUCAACAACUACACUUGAUUUAUGGCCUCUUAAUAGUUAAUGGUAGAAAUAAUUCUCAGCAUUUUGUUAAUGCUAUUGAUUAGACAUAGUGUACUUAAAAAUAAAAUUCAAAAAUUCUCAAAAGAAUAUUUUGUCUAAAAUAUCACUUUCUACAUUUAUACACACACAUAUCAUAUACACAGGUAUUUAUUCAUUCAGCAUCCAGAAAAUCUUAUGCAAUUGCCAUGACUUUUUUAUGAUUUGUACUAAACUGAAGAGUCAAAUAAAAAUAGGACACCAUUUCAAUAUCUUAUGUAAACUCAUAGGCAAAUAGGGGAAAAGAAGAAAGUAGCAACUGAAAAACUAAUCUAAAAUCUUUGCUUCAAAAACCAAGUAAUUUUUCUUCAAGUUGGCUAAAUAGUUUAUUCUUAUUAGUUGUGUAUAGUAUAUAUCACAUUUGAAUAGAUGAAUAGGAAAGACUUGCAGUGAAAUUUCAAAUUAUCAUAGUAGGAAGCUGCCCUAAUUCUUUUCCACUGCUUUUUUUUUUUUUUCCCCCAGUCAGGAAAAACAUUCGUAAAAUGGUACCUCCCUGAACUCUGUUAUCCCUCAGAUGUUAAGGUCACGGAGAAUCAUUUCAACCCAAGUCUCUUUAAAUUUAAAUAUAGGACUCAAUUUUUAAGAGAUUCCAAUAAAGGAUGGGGGGGGUAUGUGGGUGGGUAGGAAUUGGGGAUACAGUCCCCUCUCUGAUAAUCUGAGCAAAAAAGGCUGUGCUUAAAGUUUUGAGCCAUAAAUUGUGUUGGUGCUUCUCAUCUUCCCUGUAUCAAAACUGCCUGUGUGCAUGAAGGCUGAUGAAAAUGGAAGUUAUGUUCUCCCUCCUUCCAUUACUUAUUUUGUAUCUCUCUGCCCACUUUGUGGCUUGAGUUAUUCAAGUAUAUAGGUUCCUGUAGUAGAUUGUCACAGGUUCCUUACAAACCAGUGGCGUAUGUAAACCACCUUGAAGAGGAUGCCUGUUCCAAGACAAUGAGCAUCAGAUAGGGAAUAAUGAAGGAAGGUGCUGAAUCUAAGCUAAAAGUGGAGAAGGAAAAAGAUCAUUAAGACUGACUAAACUGUUUCAAUUCUAACAGAAGAAUAAUCUUUUUCACUGUCAAUUUUUAAAAGGCUAUUAAAAGUAUUAAUGCCAAAGAUAAAUACAAUUCUAUGGGAGUUCCCACUGGGGCUCAGCAGUAGCAAACCCGACCAGUAUCCAAAGGAUAUGAGUUUGAUCCCUGGCCUCGCUCAGUGGGUUAAGUAUCCAGCAUUGCCAGGAACUGUGGUGUAGGUCAGACACAGCUCAGAUUCUGUGUUGCUGUGGCUGUGGCAUAAGCCAGGAGCUGCAUUUCCAGUUUGACCCCUAGCCUGGGAAUUACCAUAAGUCACAUGUGUGCUUCUGAAAAGCAAAAAAAAAAAAAAAACAAGUCUGCUUCAUGAUUUGGACCAAAUCAAACCUCUUCCAUGAAAUUAUAGAAUUUAAACUUUGUCUAACUGUGGGGGUAAAUCAGAAACUUUUCUAUUUAUAAGGUUUUGAAGAUGAGUCAUUUGGGUUAUAAAUCAGUUUUAAAAAUUUUUAUAAUAAAACGUAUAGUAGACCUGUUGUAAACAAUUUGAGGAAUUCAAGUACACUGAGCCUCAUACAUUUUCUUGUCUAAUGAGUCACACACAGUCACAUAUAUUCAACAUAUUCCAGGACAAUUCUAAACGUGCUUGCUUCCUAUGAAAACACGUCAAUUUAGGUGAUUACUUUACUGACACUGGAAGAAUAUUCUGGUCAUUAUGUCCAGCCUUAUUUCUGAAUUUUCUUUUGAAGUAUAUUUGUACAUUGAAGGUAAAUAUACAUAGAGAAAACAAUUUAGCAUAAAAAGGUAGAAAAUAUGCCUACAUACCUAAGGCCUUCGAAAAUAAUCAUGCCGCUUAUGUACUGAUGACUGUUUAGAUAAUACAUUUUUACUUUGCAGGAACAUAUAGUUUAAGCUUUGUAUUUGCAAAUCAGGGCAUAAAAGGGGGCCUUUAUCAUAAUAUCUACUAUGAUAAAGCUAUGGCUCCCUUCAUUUGAGGGGUUCAUCAAGCGUACACAAAUUUGGAUGUGUGGUAAAAAUAUUUCAUGCAUAGCUGAUGUGUACCUUUAAAUAUUGGGGCUCUCUUCCAUGUUCUUAUCAGUAACAGCCACUCUCUGAAAAAAGGGCCCAGAUAUACAGUGGAGUGAAUGUGGAUUUUAAAUGGAGUGUGUUACUCCUUCCCACUCUACUGAAUGAACUGUUAAAAGACCAAGAAGGCUGUCAUAGAGAUAUCACAGGAAAUAAAGAACUCCAAGCCAAGGGUGUGUCCAAUGGGGUUGGCAUGGAAUGACAGACCGCCCUCCCCACAUGGAAAAUCUCGUCACCCAUCUGAGAUAUCACAUAACGGUGGCAGCGCUCCAGAGACAGAAUGAGCUCCACCUGUUUGCAAUGUGUUUAGCUAUUAAUAUUUAUGUAGUAAUUCAAGGGAGUAAAAAAUGACAAAAUGAACCAAGUUGUAUCACUGUUGGUGCUUUCAACCAAGAUUU
ensembl:lncRNA